AGUGGUGAUAGCAAAGAGCCUCCGAAAGACCAGAGCCCCUGUCCAGAUGCAGCGUCUCCAGCAAUCUAUGACGUACGUCUUCAUUUAUCAGUCAUUUAUAAUCAAGGAUCUAUAAAGAGAACAAGAACAGUAUAAACGCGAAAAUAUGGACACAAAUUGCCUUGCGAUUCCGUAAGACCCAGCUUUGAGCCAUUAUCUGGAGUACCAACUGGAGUAUUUAGAUGCACAGAUGGAGAGCGUCUUGGAAGUGGAGCUUGCAAGUGUUCAUACUAC